rnacentral:rRNA from 1 species
AUUGAACGCUGGCGGUAGGCCUAACACAUGCAAGUCGAACGGCAGCACAGUAAUAGCUUGCUCUUACGGGUGGCGAGUGGCGGACGGGGGAGGAAUACAUCGGAAUCUACUUUUUCGUGGGGGAGAACGUAGGGAAACUUACGCUAAUACCGCAUACGACCUACGUGUGAAAGCAGGGGAUCUUCGGACCUUGCGCGAUUGAAUGAGCCGAUGUCGGAUUAGCUAGUUGGCGGGGUAAAGGCCCACCAAGGCGACGAUCCGUAGCUGGUCUGAGAGGAUGAUCAGCCACACUGGAACUGAGACACGGUCCAGACUCCUACGGGAGGCAGCAGUGGGGAAUAUUGGACAAUGGGCGCAAGCCUGAUCCAGCCAUACCGCGUGGGUGAAGAAGGCCUUCGGGUUGUAAAGCACUUUUGUUGGGAAAGAAAAGCAGCAGGUUAAUACCCCGCUGUUCUGACGUUACCCAAAGAAUAAGCACCGGCUAACUUCGUG